UGGCGGCCACGUUCGAUGAAUAGUUCCACGUCGUUGUCGCUGCGCUUGAUCGCCUUCUGCAGAAUGUCCACCACGCGCUGAGCACAAUUCAACGCCUCCUGCACCUCGUCAAAGAGUGGAAUUGGCCGAGUUGGGUAGCUUUGUUGGGGUGGCAGAGGUGGCGCUGAUGGUGGCCGCAUUCACACUUUCAAUCCAACUGAGAUAACUCGCCGAACUCGGCGAUUGAAACGUACGAUUAUCAUGCAUUCCAUCACGCUCAACCGUUGCACUGCGUGUUGCAUAAUCCGUACAAUCGGAACAAGUUGACUCCAAGUUAUCUCGAUACGGUGUUGGCCCCAGGGAUGUCGAAGACACGAAAUUCUUCGGUUUAUACUCCGAGAUGGAUUCCAAGCUUUGUCGCGAAUGAAUCCUGCUUGUUGCGCAGCGAGGCACUACUAGCUCUUCGUACAGUCGCGGAACGUUGAUGUUUUGCUACCAAUUGUCCAAAGAGAAUAAGGUCGGACGUCUCCUUAUCGCUGCGCAGCAUAUAAACUGCAUUCGGGGAGCUCCCCGAGGAGUCCGAGAUGGAAUCCCGCGGGCUAUUUUGCUGCGACAUUCUGCCUGCCUUCGUAGUCACUUUUAUCGCAGGUGUAGGAAGACUGAGUGUUCAAAGGAUACAGAUUCGGAUAGAGUUGGUUUACGGAUGGACGCGCAGGAUUUCCAUAGUGAUGGAUUAUUCACCGAUGGUUUUAUCACGAGUCGCUGGUCUUUCACAUGGGGGUGGCAUAGCAAACGAGUCGGACAACGAAGAAGAUAAUGAGAAAAUAUCAAGAUGUAGUCAAGUAUAGAUGUGACGAUUAACAAUAAUAUUCUUCCUCAAUUUCCUCUUCGUCCUUGUCAUAAGUUUAUAACGUAAGUAAGUAAGUACAUACGAAUGAGUGUUAUCUAUACGUUAUUCUCAUUUAUAAUAGGCGCCCAGGUUCGUACUUAAUUAUUUAAUUUGUUUACUUUUACCUUCUCUUAACAACUAAUUAAUGGUAAUAAAUAAUUACAGACAACGAGUUUCUUCUGCGCCUGCGUCCGUCGAUGCAACGUAUAAAACAAAUCGACGUCGACGCAUUUUCACACACUGUGAUCAGCCUCUACUGGUUUACAAACUUAAAACAAAACAGUCGCUACACCACAUUCGCCUACUUAAUGUUACAAUUUGUAAUAGUAAUAAUACUUAACAAUAAUGAUAAUUACACAAUCAAUAUUUCAAUUUA